GACGUAGGGCGCGAGCGUUGUCCGGAUUUAUUGGGCGUAAAGAGCUCGUAGGCGGCUUGUCGCGUCGGCCGUGAAAACUUGGGGCUCAACCCCAAGCCUGCGGUCGAUACGGGCAGGCUAGAGUUCGGUAGGGGAGACUGGAAUUCCUGGUGUAGAGGUGAAAUUCGUAGAUAUCGGGAGGAACACCGGUGGCGAAGGCGGCGACCUGGGUAGAUACUGACGCUGAGGUGCGAAAGCGUGGGGAGCAAACAGG
rnacentral:rRNA from 1 species